UACGAAGGGGUCUAGCGUUGUUCGGAAUUACUGGGCGUAAAGGGCGCGUAGGCGGUGCUGUAAGUCAGGCGUGAAAUCCCCGGGCUCAACCUGGGAAUUGCGUUUGAUACUGCGGCGCUGGAAUGCGGGAGAGGAUGGCGGAAUUCCCAGUGUAGAGGUGAAAUUCGUAGAUAUUGGGAAGAACACCGGUGGCGAAGGCGGCCAUCUGGCCCGUAAUUGACGCUGAGGCGCGAAAGCGGGGGGAGCAAACAGG
rnacentral:rRNA from 1 species